rnacentral:rRNA from 2 species
ACCUGAUUGAUUUUGGUCGCCAACGAGUGGCGGACGGGUGAGUAACACGUAGGUAACCUGCCCAGAAGCGGGGGACAACAUUUGGAAACAGAUGCUAAUACCGCAUAACAACGUUGUUCGCAUGAACAACGCUUAAAAGAUGGCUUCUCGCUAUCACUUCUGGAUGGACCUGCGGUGCAUUAGCUUGUUGGUGGGGUAAUGGCCUACCAAGGCGAUGAUGCAUAGCCGAGUUGAGAGACUGAUCGGCCACAAUGGGACUGAGACACGGCCCAUACUCCUACGGGAGGCAGCAGUAGGGAAUCUUCCACAAUGGGCGCAAGCCUGAUGGAGCAACACCGCGUGAGUGAAGAAGGGUUUCGGCUCGUAAAGCUCUGUUGUUAAAGAAGAACACGUAUGAGAGUAACUGUUCAUACGUUGACGGUAUUUAACCAGAAAGUCACGGCUAACUACGUGCCAGCAGCCGCGGUAAUACGUAGGUGGCAAGCGUUAUCCGGAUUUAUUGGGCGUAAAGAGAGUGCAGGCGGUUUUCUAAGUCUGAUGUGAAAGCCUUCGGCUUAACCGGAGAAGUGCAUCGGAAACUGGAUAACUUGAGUGCAGAAGAGGGUAGUGGAACUCCAUGUGUAGCGGUGGAAUGCGUAAAUAUAUGGAAGAACACCAGUGGCGAAGGCGGCUACCUGGUCUGCAACUGACGCUGAGACUCGAAAGCAUGGGUAGCGAACAGGAUUAGAUACCCUGGUAGUCCAUGC